rnacentral:rRNA from 1 species
UACAGAGGGUGCGAGCGUUAAUCGGAAUUACUGGGCGUAAAGCGUGCGUAGACGGUUAUUUAAGUCGGGUGUGAAAGCCCCGGGCUCAACCUGGGAAUUGCAUUCGAGACUGAAUGCUAGGGUACGGUAGAGGGAAGUGGAAUUUCCGGUGUAGCGGUGAAAUGCGUAGAUAUCGGAAGGAACAUCAGUGGCGAAAGCGACUUCCUGGACCAGUACCGACGUUCAGGCACGAAAGCGUGGGGAGCAAACAGG